UAGGGAAUCUUCGNNAAUGGACGGAAGNCUGACCGAGCAACGCNGCGUGAGUGAAGAAGGUUUUCGGAUCGUAAAGCUCUGUUGUAAGAGAAGAACGAGUGUGAGAGUGGAAAGUUCACACUGUGACGGUAUCUUACCAGAAAGGGACGGCUAACUACGUGCCAGCAGCCGCGGUAAUACGUAGGUCCCGAGCGUUGUCCGGAUUUAUUGGGCGUAAAGCGAGCGCAGGCGGUUAGAUAAGUCUGAAGUUAAAGGCUGUGGCUUAACCAUAGUACGCUUUGGAAACUGUUUAACUUGAGUGCAAGAGGGGAGAGUGGAAUUCCAUGUGUAGCGGUGAAAUGCGUAGAUAUAUGGAGGAACACCGGUGGCGAAAGCGGCUCUCUGGCUUGUAACUGACGCUGAGGCUCGAAAGCGUGGGGAGCAAACAGGAUUAGAUACCCUGGUAGUCCACGCCGUAAACGAUGAGUGCUAGGUGUUAGACCCUUUCCGGGGUUUAGUGCCGUAGCUAACGCAUUAAGCACUCCGCCUGGGGAGUACGACCGCNNNUUG
rnacentral:rRNA from 1 species